rnacentral:lncRNA from 10 species
AACAAAUGGUAUUAUCCGUAGUAAUAUACACAGGGCAGCCACACACAGAAAUGUUAAUGUUCAUGCUGUAGAAAUUCUCACUUUACUAAGGGGAAUUUUAGGGUUAGUGUUAUCGUAAAGAAUAAUAAUUAUAGCUGACAAUUACAGCACAUUUACUGUGUCAGGCUCCUAGGUAAUUGACGUGUAUUAAUUCAUGUUCUCUUCAUAAUAAACUGAGGAGGUAUGUGCUAUUGUUAUAUUAUUUUUACCCAUGAGGAAGCUGAGGCAUAGAGAGGGUAAGUAACUCAUCGAAAUAAGCAGUGGAAACAAGAGUCACACCAAGGCAGCCCAGCUCCAGAGUCUGUGUGUUUCACCAUCGUGCACAAUUGCUUCUCUAUGAAAAAAGUAAAAUAAUACUAACACAUCCAGAGAGAGGGCUUUGCGUUAUCAGUUCUGCACUAAAAAGACAAUCUGGCAUGGGCUUUAAGUAUUGCAUCUUUGAAGCUAUUGCCCAAAACCUUAAGGCGUGCCACGUGGUAGCUGAAGAUACGAUGGGUUCCUAACGAAUGACGGUUUGAUGAUGAGUACAGUUUAGGUUCAAUUUGGUUUUAGACUCGCAGGCUCUUACAUAUUUUGUUAUAUAAAAGAGUAAAAAUAGUUUGCUACAAUAAGCUGGAAAGCUAGAAAUAGCUUAAAAUAUAUUGCACGUAACCCCAUUGUAUUCCACCAGAAGAAUUUUAAUUACAAAGAAAAUCCAGGGUCAAUCUGGAUCAAAAAAUUUCCGUUUUUUGCCACCCAGUGUUUCCCAUUUCCUCUCGCGGCAGCUUCUGGUUUGUCUGAGAAAGCUCCACCUGCUCAGUUCACCUGCUUGGCCUGCCUGGUCCCAGGAUGAAUCAGGUGGCCCAAGCCUAACCCAAUCAGGACAUCACAUACCCCUGACCUCAGUGACUGGUUCAAAGGUGGGCAUGUGACCCAAACACAGCCAAUAAAAUGCCACAAGAUUUUUGCUGGGAAUGUUCAAACAAGAAUUAAAUUGAGGCAGGUCCCAGUGCAGAGGUGUUUACAACUAAUUAAUCACAACCAGUUACAGAUUGCCUUGUUUCUUCUCCUCUCCCACUGCUUCACUUGACUAGCCUAAAAAAAAAAGAAAAAAAAUUGAAAUGCAAAAUGAGCCGCUUUAGCCAUCUUUGCCAUCACAAGGGGUGAUCUAAAGCAUACAGAGGCCAUUCGACAAACAGACUGAAACUCUGGGAACAAAAGGUAUGUGAAAGACUAAGAAAACCCCAGCCAAAGGCAUCAUUAGAGCCCUAAAUACAACCGUGUCCAAAAUCUGUCUACUAGACUUUUAAAUUAUUGAGACAGUUAGUCACAUCCACUUUUUAAAAAUUUAAAUCUGAGCUAGUUUACAACACAUUUGAGCUAGUUUACAACAAAUUAAAAAAGGCCAAAUUGACACAAUAUGAAUCAAUAGGUGAACUUUUAGAGCAGACACUACGUCUUGUUCACCUUGUUCACAAGCCAGUAAACCCGUCCUUAUCUGAGAUUCCAAAAUCCAUACUCUUCUGAAAACCAAAAAUUUUCUUGCAACUCAUUUGAUGACAAAAUAGACAUGACAAGUAUAAAUAUGAGGAAUCUUUAUCCCACUUAAUGUCACUAUUCCUAUGUUUUGUUGCUGAACAGUUAAUGUUUCUGAUUACAGGCUGCUGCACGGAUCCUAUCAAAAGUGUCAUGGUGCUGGCUGAGAAUGGUGGUUCACAUCUGGAGGCUGUGCACUUUGGGAGGCUGAGGCAGGAGGAUUGCCUGAGCCCAGGAGUUCGAGACCAGCCUUAGCAAAAUGGUGAGAACCUGUUUCUGCAAAAAAUUAAGAAAUUAGGCCGGGCGCGGUGGCUCACGCCUGUAAUCCCAGCACUUUGGGAGGCCGAGGCGGGCGGAUCACGAGGUCAGGAGAUCGAGACCAACCCCGCUAAA